UACGGAGGGGGCUAGCGUUGUUCGGAAUUACUGGGCGUAAAGCGCGCGUAGGCGGACCUGCAAGUCGGGGGUGAAAGCCCGAGGCUCAACCUCGGAACUGCCUUCGAUACUGCGGGUCUCGAGUCCGGGAGAGGUGAGUGGAAUUCCUAGUGUAGAGGUGAAAUUCGUAGAUAUUAGGAAGAACAUCAGUGGCGAAGGCGACUUCCUGGACCAAUACUGACGCUCAGGUGCGAAAGCGUGGGGAGCAAACAGG
rnacentral:rRNA from 1 species